UGGGGAAUAUUGCACAAUGGGGGAAACCCUGAUGCAGCGACGCCGCGUGAGCGAAGAAGGUUUUCGAAUCGUAAAGCUCUGUCCUAUGGGAAGAUAAUGACGGUACCAUAGGAGGAAGCCCCGGCUAACUACGUGCCAGCAGCCGCGGUAAUACGUAGGGGGCGAGCGUUGUCCGGAAUUACUGGGCGUAAAGGGUUCGCAGGCGGCAUGGCAAGUCCGAUGUAAAAGGCGAAGGCUCAACCUUCGUAAGCAUCGGAAACUGUCAAGCUUGUGUGGAGGAGAGGCAAGUGGAAUUCCUAGUGUAGCGGUGGAAUGCGUAGAUAUUAGGAGGAAUACCGGUGGCGAAGGCGACUUGCUGGACUUCAACUGACGCUGAGGAACGAAGGCGGGGGUAGCAAACAGG
rnacentral:rRNA from 1 species